UGGACCAGUGAUGAGGACUCACGGCAUGAGAAUUGUGGGCAAUGAAAAAAAUAUGUGUCUGAAACGCUGAGGAGCCAA
rnacentral:snoRNA from 1 species